GUGAAACUAUUCUGUCAUAAGAAUGUUUUCAUGUCUCAGAAGUGAGGGGAACCAGGUUUGCUAAAGUAACUGCAGUGAUAGAAAUAUAUUAACUUCAGAUGCUAUUGAGGUUUCCUACUCUACCCAGUACAGAG